rnacentral:lncRNA from 1 species
CAGAAGUGGACGAAAGAAUAGCGGAGAAGCAUCAGAGAGCACGUGGGACUGGUCUGCAGAAAGGAAGAUAGUUCUUGCUCUGCCGUUAACUAGUAACACGACUUUAGGCACAUGACCUUCAACUUUUUUGGGGCCUAAGUUUAUUUAUCUCACAAGUGAGAUAACUGAGCUUGACCAGGGAUUACACACCAAAUGGCUAUAGGUUGCAGGUCCUUCUGGUUGUGCUGUGUGGGAUGCCACCUCAGCAUGGCCUGAUGAGCGGUGCCAUGUCUGCGCCCAGGAUCCGAACUGGUGAAACCCAGGGCCCUAAGUGGAGCGUGUGGAUUUAACCACUUGGCCAUGUGGACAGCCCCUGUCCGAGCCUUUGAUAUACUAAGGCCGUGCUGUCCAACAUGGCAGCCACCAGACACAGGCAGCUAUGGAGCACUGGAGGUGUGGCUCGCCUGCUGUGAGAUGUGCUGAGCGACUCAUAAAGUUAGUGUUUCAUGGAAUGUACUUCUGGAAAGAGCUCCAACUCCAACGCAUGAUUUUAUGAUGCUGUGAGAGACGGAGGAGCGACGUCCAGGAUUUCUCCUUGCCUUUGAUUUUGGUGGCAUUAAUAAGCAGUAUCUGCCCAGGGAGCUGAGCAGAGGGCGUGUGUCAUGUGGGUGGAAGUUUGGAGCCGGAGUGGUGGCUGUUUGUUACUGAAAGAAAAAGGCCGAGCUCACGGACGCCAUGCUGGGGACUGUACCAGCCACUGAGCAGAAAGGAUGCAGGGAUGGCACCACAGAGCAGGAAGAGGGGCAGCUCUCAGGCAGCCAUGUGGGAGCUCUGGAGGCGCAGGCCUCAGGGCCCAGCGGUGGCAGGGAUCGCCCUCUUCUUGAAGUCAGUUUCUUCUCUGAGGUUGUUGGAGAGCACUGGAAAGUAACCAGGGGAAAUUAGAAGCAAAUUUAUCUAGAGCCCUGGAGGUCAAGGGCUUCUGCGACAAGUCCUUGAACAUGGUGACUAUGGGUGCGUCUUCUCCUUGUGGUGGCAGGACUGCUUCCCAAAGCGAUUAAAGGGAAGCUGUGCUACACUGGGUUUGACACCAGCAUAGAGACUUCACCAAAAACCCAGAAAGCACCCUGCAGAGAGGAACUUCCCCUGGUCCCAGGCCCUUCUCCACUCUUCCCAGGGUGCUGGAUUGUUGAACUGGCCGAGAUUGGAGCCUUAGAUCCCAGAUGCUGAUGUUAACAGCAUCCAAGAAGACAGUGUGGAGAAAUAGUUGCUGAUGUAUCUCCCAGCACUCAAGGAACCGGAAAUUAAAUGCAAACCAUAUGGGUUCUGUGAAGAUAUUAUGUCACAUAAGGCAAAAAAGAGGCAGAAGGAAAUAUUGUUCAUAAUAUUACUAUAAUAAACAGAAAAAAACUAUUUACCAGCACAUGCUUUGUACUCUCAAAACUCAAGGAAACAUGGAAAAAGGAGAAGAAAGAUGAGUAGUAAGAAAUUAGAGUUGAGAAGAGAACAGAUUGAGACCAAGCAGUAAUUAAAAAUAAAUGAGAUAAGAAAAGAAUUUCAGCAAAGGUAGAAGAGGAGGUUUUGGAGUUGUGGCUACUUGGGUAAAGAGUGGGGAGAAGCUGGAAGAGCUGUGAGAAUCUGCUGGCAAACACUAGUCAUCACUCAGGCCUGUCCCACCCACAGACAGCCCUGGAUCCAUUCAUCUGUUUACCUUCGCGCCUAUGUUGCCCCAUAACGGUGUGGUCUCCAGCUUAACUAGGCUCUUGACACUGACAAAAUUCUUCUGCAGCUCCCAACCUAGAGCUUUCUCCCCAAACUCACUGUGGCUAUUUCCAGUGCUUCUCUACUUCCUGAUGCCUCCAACCCUACCAUUUCCCAUUUGUUCUCAGCAAAGACUCUGCCAGGAACUUCGGAGAGGAAUUAGAGGCCGUCAAGUUCCCAUGACUUCCUUCCAUCAAGGCUACAAAAGCAGGUUCCCCCCCAUCACCCACCCCCAGAUGUCCUAUCCUCCUGCGUGUUGUAACAGGGGAACAGGCUUCCCUCUCAUCUCAGAGUCUAACACUGCGCCUGGGCUCUGCAUCGCAUUUCCUCCCUGUACCUCCCACCCAGCCUUUUACUGGCUGAUUCCUGUCAACACUGAAAUAUCCUUGAGGCUUUCACCUUUUUAUACAAAUGCCUCUCUACCCCAUGCCUUCUUCCAGUUACUGUCCCCUCUCCCUUCUUAACCACUCAGCCAAAGGUCUUUUAAGAGGUCUCUGUAACUCAUCUUUAUUUUCUCACGUUUCUCUUACUUUUCUACCCGUGGAAGCCUGGCUUCUUCUCCUCGCUUUCCAUGAAACCACUCUCGCCAGUGUCAUCCACAACCUCUUUGUAGCUAUGGUUAACAAACACUUACUUUAAGUCGUUA